rnacentral:rRNA from 1 species
AUUGAACGCUGGCGGCAGGCUUAACACAUGCAAGUCGAGCGGGGUGAGGUGCUUCGGUACUGAUCCUAGCAGCGGACGGGUGAGUAAUGCUUAGGAAUCUGCCUAUUAGUGGGGGACAACAUUGCGAAAGGGAUGCUAAUACCGCAUACGGCCUAAGGGGGAAAGCAGGGGAUCUUCGGACCUUGCGCUAAUAGAUGAGCCUAAGUCGGAUUAGCUAGUUGGUGGGGUAAAGGCCUACCAAGGCGACGAUCUGUAGCGGGUCUGAGAGGAUGAUCCGCCACACUGGGACUGAGACACGGCCCAGACUCCUACGGGAGGCAGCAGUGGGGAAUAUUGGACAAUGGGCGGAAGCCUGAUCCAGCCAUGCCGCGUGUGUGAAGAAGGCCUUUUGGUUGUAAAGCACUUUAAGCGAGGAGGAGGCUACUGAGAUUAAUACUCUUGGAUAGUGGACGUUACUCGCAGAAUAAGCACCGGCUAACUCUGUGCCAGCCGCCGCUGUAACAC